rnacentral:lncRNA from 1 species
UUCAGACUUAUUGUUAUAUUUCUUUGUAAGGUCUUUUGUGAAUAAUUAAUAAAAUGGUUGCAUGCAUCGUCCAGAUGCAGGCGAUCCUCCUUUUCUAAAAUAAAUGUGAUGUCGUCUGCAGCUUUGAUGUGGAAACUCACUAAUACCAACAGCUAAAAGGGGAAAUGUCUGUGCUCUUCAAAUCAAAAUAUUGGCAAAAUCAUCAUUCAACAGUAUUAUUUGAUGUGGAACCUCGCCGAUACCUUGCAAUACCAAAAGGGAAAAUGCGUGGAAAUCAGCAUGCUCUUCAAAUCAAAUUAUUAGCGAAAGUUAAGAACAGAAAAACUAAUGCAAGAUCUGACAAUUCUGGUUUUUUAAGGGCAAUUCACACAUUGUCGUGCUAGUCUAUUCUGACAAAAGACUGAUAGAAGGAUUGGAAAAAUCUAGAAGGCACAAAUAUUCGAGAAAAAAUGGAAGAUACAAAGUCUAAAUUGGAUAUAAGCAUAUAUAUGCAGUCUCAAAUUCAGCUAUGUCGAUAGCUCAAUGAUAAACUGGGAACAUGCAAGUCGUAAAGAAAUGAUACACCAGAGCCACUACUUUGCUUAUUGUCCAUGUUAACUCUCAAGGAUAGCUUCUAUUCAUAUAUAGUCUGCGUAAACAUGGAUGCUUACCUGGCCAGAUGGAUACCAAAAUACAACCAGAUACCAGAAGAGUAGAAGACUAUGAAGCCUCAACAUCCAUAGAAAACUCAGUUCUACACAACACCAUGUUGACACAUAGCUAGGUUUGAUCUCAAUUAAAUAUAUAACAGAUGAUUUCAAGAAGUGCAUAUCACAUUCUUCGUCAUCUUAUCUUAAGUGCUUUGAGUGUCGGUUGCCGACCAGUCUUCUCAAAUACAACAUUACCUGCAAUGGCGUGCAAAUGAAGAAACACAAAUUAUUGCAAUUGAGUAAAAUCCUAGUAGGUUGCAAAAUCUAGAGCUAAGAAGCUAAAAAUCACAUAUAUAUAGCUAUUGCUAUUUGUUGUCGAUCAAAAAGAAUUUAACUUGUUAUAGUGACCCUGUUUAGUUUGCAUGACUACAUAUGGCAACAUGCGCAAUGUUGUUGAAUUACAAGAAGCCUGAACAUCCAUAGAGAACAUAGGAUUGUACAACACCAUGUUGACACAUAGGUUUGAUCUUAAAUAAUACAUAUACGGUAAAAAGCAGAACCUAGGUCAAACGAGGACUGAGUAUGGAGUUUCUAGCUAAUGAUGUCCUCACGUACAACUACAAAACAAAAUAACACAGAGCCACCCCAUGGAAAAUAGACCUCUGGCAAUUAAUAAUAUUCAUCGUUAAUAUUGAAGACCUUUUUUUGAGCAAGAACCUCCUGCGUGCAAUAGGGAAGAGGGAGCUACCAAUACCAUGGUGCACACC